rnacentral:rRNA from 1 species
AACGAACGCUGGCGGCAGGCUUAACACAUGCAAGUCGAACGGAUCCUUCGGGAUUAGUGGCAGACGGGUGAGUAACGCGUGGGAACGUACCCUUUGCUACGGAAUAACUCAGGGAAACUUGAGCUAAUACCGUAUGUGCUCUACGGGGGAAAGAUUUAUCGGCAAAGGAUCGGCCCGCGUUGGUUUAGCCGGUUGGUGGGGUAAUGGCCUACCAAGGCGACGAUCCAUAGCUGGUCUGAGAGGAAGAUCAGCCACACUGGGACGGAGACACGGCCCAGACUCCUACGGGAGGGAGCAGUGGGGAAUAUUGGACAAUGGGCGCAAGCCUGAUCGAGCCCUGCCGGGUGAGUGAUGAAGGUCUUAGGAUUGUAAAGCUCUUUCACCGGUGAAGAUAAUGACGGUAGCCGGAGAAGAAGCCCCGGCUAACUUCGUG